rnacentral:rRNA from 1 species
UGGGGAAUAUUGCACAAUGGGCGCAAGCCUGAUGCAGCCAUGCCGCGUGUGUGAAGAAGGCCUUCGGGUUGUAAAGUACUUUCAGCGGGGAGGAAGGGAGUAAAGUUAAUACCUUUGCUCAUUGACGUUACCCGCAGAAGAAGCACCGGCUAACUCCGUGCCAGCAGCCGCGGUAAUACGGAGGGUGCAAGCGUUAAUCGGAAUUACUGGGCGUAAAGCGCACGCAGGCGGUUUGUUAAGUCAGAUGUGAAAUCCCCGGGCUCAACCUGGGAACUGCAUCUGAUACUGGCAAGCUUGAGUCUCGUAGAGGGGGGUAGAAUUCCAGGUGUAGUGGUGAAAUGCGUAGAGAUCUGGAGGAAUACCGGUGGCGAAGGCGGCCCCCUGGACGAAGACUGACGCUCAGGUGCGAAAGCGUGGGGAGCAAACAGG